GGAUUAGGCAUGCAAGUCGAACGAGAAGCCGAGCUUCGGCUCGGUGGAAAGUGGCGAAAGGGUGAGUAACGCGUGGGUAAUUUACCUCUGAGAUGGGGAUAACGGUUCGAAAGGGCCGCUAAUACCAAAUACGAUUCGGUUGACUUCGGUCUGCCGAAUGAAAGGUGGCUUCGGCUGCCGCUCGGAGAUGAGCCCGCGUCCUAUUAGCUUGUUGGUGAGGUAACGGCUCACCAAGGCAACGAUGGGUAGCUGGUCUGAGAGGAUGGUCAGCCACAUUGGGACUGAGACACUGCCCAAACUCCUACGGGAGGCUGCAGUCGAGAAUAUUUCGCAAUGGGGGAAACCCUGACGAUGCGACGCCGCGUGGGGGAUGAAGGCCUUCGGGUUGUAAACCUCUGUUUUAUGGGAUGAAUUGGUCGUUGCCGAUAAAGCAACGUUUUUUACGUUACCAUAGUAGAAAGCCCCAGCUAACUACGUGCCAGCAGCUGCGGUAAUACGUAGGGRGCAARCRUUGUCCGGAAUCACUGGGCGUAAAGCGCGCGCAGGCGGUAGAGUAAUUAARYGUGAWAUGUUUCUUCUCACC
rnacentral:rRNA from 1 species